UACGUAGGGGGCGAGCGUUGUCCGGAUUCAUUGGGCGUAAAGAGCUCGUAGGCGGCUUGGUUAGUUGGGUGUGAAACCUCCAGCUUAACCUGGAGACGCCACUCAAUACUGCCAUGGCUAGAGUCCGGUAGGGGACCACGGAAUUCCUGGUGUAGCGGUGAAAUGCGCAGAUAUCAGGAGGAACACCGGUGGCGAAGGCGGUGGUCUGGGCCGGCACUGACGCUGGAGGAGCGAAAGCGUGGGGAGCGAACAGG
rnacentral:rRNA from 1 species